GCCUAUCCACAAUUACUACUAAUAUUGCAGCCAAUGUCGUCGCGCCAGCUAAUGCCUUAGUCAAUCUUAGCCCUACAAAAUUCACUUUCAGAAGAGGUGCAGUUCUAACAGCAUUGCUAGGAAUUGCAUUCCAACCUUGGAGAUUACUCAAAUCAAGUGAAAGCUUUGUGUAAGCAGUUACAUCUUCAACGACAGUAAUAUUUGGGCAUGUUAUUUCCAACCCCAUUACACUACUUGGUGAAAUUGGUGGAUUCUUGACAAUAAUCCUUGCAAUUAUUGGAAUUAGCCUAUCCACAAUUACUACUAAUAUUGCAGCCAAUGUCGUCGCGCCAGCUAAUGCCUUAGUCAAUCUUAGCCCUACAAAAUUCACUUUCAGAAGAGGUGCACUUCUAACAGCAUUGUUAGGAAUUGCAUUCCAACCUUGGAGAUUACUCAAAUCAAGUGAAAGCUUUGUGUAUACUUGGUUAGUUGUUCUAACAGCAUUGCUAGGAAUUGCAUUCCAACCUUGGAGAUUACUAAAAUCAAGUGAAAGCUUUGUGUAUACUUGGUUAGUUGGUUAUUCUGCAAUACUAGGACCAAUUAUGGGCAUACUUUUAGCAGAUUAUUAUCUCAUUCGAAGGAUGAAUUUAAAGAUCAAAGAUUUGU
rnacentral:lncRNA from 1 species